rnacentral:rRNA from 1 species
AUAUCAGUCAUGCAUAGCAUAUCAAUAAGCGGAGGAAAAGAAACUAACAAGGAUUCCCUUAGUAACGGCGAGUGAAGCGGGAAGAGCUCAAAUUUGAAAUCUUCAAGGUUUUACCUUGACGAAUUGUAGUUUAAAGAAGUGUUUUCUGUUGAAGUUUUGGUAAAAGUUCUUUGGAAUAGGACAUCAUAGAGGGUGAGAAUCCCGUAUUUGACCAUUACUUUUCAGCUUUGUGAUACACUUUCAAAGAGUCGGAUUGUUUGGGAAUGCAGUCCAAAAUGGGUGGUAAAUUUCAUCUAAAGCUAAAUAUUGGCGAGAGACCGAUAGCGAACAAGUACCGUGAGGGAAAGAUGAAAAGAACUUUGAAAAGAGAGUUAAACAGUACGUGAAAUUGUCAAAAGGGAAGCGUUUGACACCAGUGUUGUUUUCUCGAAAAUCAAUUAAAAAGAGUUGGAUUUUGUGUUGUAUUGACUUUAUCAGCUUUCUUCACUCUUUUCCAGCUUUUUUUAAUGCACUUUUCGUUUAACAAGUCAACAUCAGUUUCUUUUGUUGUAAAAAGGUCAUUGGAAGGUGGCUUUCUCUUCGGAGAAAGUGUUUAUAGCCUUUGACUCAUGCAAUCGGAGAGACUGAGGUCUGCAGCGUAGAUCCUUCGGGGUUAGAUACAUUUGUGCUAAGUUAUAGCUUUUCAUAGACAACUUGUCUGACUAUGUUUAGUCUUGUAGCUUACUCGCUUAUGCUAUUUUACCUACGCUUAGGAUGUUGAACUCUAUCACACACAG